UACGUAGGAGACGAGCGUUGUCCGGAAUCACUGGGCGUAAAGCGCGUGUAGGCGGAUCGGCAAGUCUGCUGUGAAAGCUCCUGGCUUAACCGGGAGUGGUCGGUGGAAACUGCCAGUCUGGAGGACGGUAGAGGUAGGUAGAAUUCCCGGUGUAGUGGUGGAAUGCGUAGAUAUCGGGAGGAACACCAGUGGCGAAGGCGGUUGCCUGGGGCGUUUGCUGACGCUGAUGCGCGAAAGCGUGGGGAGCGAUCCGG
rnacentral:rRNA from 1 species